rnacentral:rRNA from 1 species
UACGUAGGGUGCGAGCGUUGCCCGGAUUUAUUGGGCGUAAAGGGCGCGUAGGCGGCCACGCACGUCCGUUGUGAAAUCGCCCGGCUCAACUGGGCGGGGUCAGCGGAUACGGUGUGGCUCGAGCAAGCUAGGGGGCAAUGGAAUUCCCGGUGUAGUGGUGGAAUGCGUAGAUAUCGGGAGGAACACCAGUGGCGAAGGCGGUUGCCUGGAGCUUUGCUGACGCUGAGGCGCGAAAGCGUGGGG